rnacentral:rRNA from 1 species
ACGUAGGGAGCAAGCGUUGUCCGGAUUUACUGGGUGUAAAGGGUGCGUAGGCGGUUCUGCAAGUCAGUUGUGAAAACUAUGGGCUUAACCCAUAGCCUGCCAUUGAAACUGUGGGACUUGAGUGAAGGAGAGGUAGGUGGAAUUCCCGGUGUAGCGGUGAAAUGCGUAGAGAUCGGGAGGAACACCAGUGGCGAAGGCGGCCUACUGGGCUGUAACUGACGCUGAAGCGCGAAAGCAUGGGUAGCAAACAG